UCAUGCGCCCAGCAGCCGAGCUAAGCUUCUGCCACCUGAAAACGACUCGGCGGUCCUCCAGCUUGUUGCUCUCACUACGAGCAGUUGCUGUAGAAAAUGUACGUUCAGGCUGAAAAUUCGACCGUGGUGUCGGGAGAUGCAGCAACUUUACCAGCGAAACCGAAGAAGAAAGAGGAGGUAGCAUGAUGUGGCCACCACUGGCAUCUUGUCAGAGGAGGGUAAAAA